UGCACAGGCUGUGGGAGAAGAAGAGGAGCAGCGGGAGAGGGAACGUGACAGAGGAGGGAGAAAAGGAAGAGUAUCAUCAUCUUGGGAAGGAGGUCCACACCUGGAACUGACCAAGCAGGUAAUAAAGAUUGUAAAGAGAGACUCCAGAGGAGAUGUGGACCAUUGGGCACACCAGGCUUGGAAAUGCUUCCACUUUUGCAGGUGUACAGAUGCCAAGAGAUCACACAGUCACCCUAGAGUCUUUAAGUCAGUGGAGGGAACCAUUCAUGGCAUCACUGAAAAGCUUAGGCUUUUCAAAAGGAAGGUUCUCCACGGUAUUUUGUAUCUCCUUGACAAGGCAGAGGAUUGCAACCAUGACACCUAAUGCAUGAUUACAGCAGUUGCCAUCAAAUGUGAAGCUGUAUGUGCCACAUUGAGAGAAGUCUGAAAGGAAGCCUUAAUGAUUAACUGGCCUUCUGGGAAGAGGGCUUGUAACUGCUCCCUCUGGUCUUGAGGCAAAUGUUCAGUGAAAUGUGAAAAUGUAAUGUAAUUUGUGAAGUCAUAUUUUGCAUAAGUGAUGGGGCUUAAGCCCCAUCACCUGCAAGGCUAGUGAAUGCACCUAAUUAGUCAUGCUCUGCAGCUGUGGGGGGAGCAGGUGAAUACUUAAUUGGCUCCCAGCCAGAGGGAGCAGAGCUAAGCCACAAAAUAAGUAGAUUGAAGGAGUUCAACUGAGGGGAGAGACUGCAGAAGAGACAGGUGCCUCUAACUGAGAGAAGUCCAGUGUUAGGGUAACAGAGAUAAUGGGGGCAGUCCCCUACAGGGGCUGCAUACACUCCUGCAAAGGAAGCCCUAAAACAAGAGUACAAGGAGAGGACUUCAGCAGCCCAAAGGGGCAGGAGAAUUAUCCAUAUUCAUUUGGACUUGUUCAUGAUACCCUGGAAGUGGUUUGAACUUUGUGACUUUGCCAGAGGACUGAGCCACUGGAGUCAGAAGCAGGAAGUCAGCAGGAGGCACUGAAGUCAAAGACAGCAGCAACAUCUCGCCCACCACACAUCAAGGCCCGAUAGUUCACAACUCUAAAUUGGAGAGCAACCAAGGAAUAGCUCUUGUAGCCUGUAAGGUCCAUGUACUUACAUUAUUUAUCAGAA